GACGAACGCUGGCGGCGUGCUUAACACAUGCAAGUCGAACGGAAAGGCCCUGCUCUUGUGGCGCGCUCGAGUGGCGAACGGGUGAGUAACACGCGAGUAACCUGCCCUUGACUUUGGGAUAACUUCAGGAAACUGGGGCUAAUAUCGGAUAGGAGCUCCUGCUGCAUGGUGGGGGUUGGUAAGUUUCGGCGGUUGGGGAUGGACUCGCGGCUUAUGAGCCUGUUGGUGGGGUAGUGGCUUACCAAGGCUUCGACGGGUAGCCGGCCUGAGAGGGUGGCCGGCCACCAGAGGACUGAGGGAGGGCCCAGACGGCAAUGGGACGCAAGGGGGGAGAGUAUGACAGAGUAGGGGGGCGCGAGGUGUGACAGCGCCGGGUGCGGGAAGACGGGCUUCGGGUGGAGAACCAAUUUCGCCUGUGACGAGGCGUGAGUGACGGUAAUGGGUAAAGAAGCACCGGCUAACUACGUG
rnacentral:rRNA from 1 species